rnacentral:rRNA from 1 species
UACGGGGGGGGUAAGCGUUGUUCGGAAUUACUGGGCGUAAAGGGCUCGUAGGCGGCCAACUAAGUCAUACGUGAAAUCCCUCAGCUUAACUGGGGAACUGCGUGUGAUACUGGAUGGCUUGGAUUUGGGAGAGGGAAGCGGAAUUCCAGGUGUAGCGGUGAAAUGCGUAGAUAUCUGGAGGAACACCGGUGGCGAAGGCGGCAUCCUGGACCGGCAUUGACGCUGAUGAGCGAAAGCUAGGGGAGCAAACGGG